UACGGAGGGUGCGAGCGUUGUCCGGAAUCACUGGGCGUAAAGGGCGCGUAGGCGGCCUGAUAAGUAGGGGGGUGAAAUCCUGCGGCUUAACCGCAGGGCUGCCUUCUAAACUGUCGGGCUCGAGCACAGUAGAGGCAGGUGGAAUUCCCGGUGUAGCGGUGGAAUGCGUAGAGAUCCGGAAGAACACCAGUGGCGAAGGCGGCCCGCUGGGCAGUGGCUGACGCUGAGGCGCGACAGCGUGGGGAGCAAACAGG
rnacentral:rRNA from 1 species